CUCCUCUGCGUCGAUGCCUCUGUUCUUCCCCGAUCCUUUCUUCUCCUCAUCCAUCGCCCAUCUUAUCUCGCAUCUCUCUCUCCCUUGCUCCCACACGCGACCUUGCCAUGUCGCCUUGAUCGCUGACGUCCCAACCCUUGCCUCGCCACUGACCACAGUCGAUGGUCGUUGCCCAACCCAAGUAAUGCGAGUCGUACCCUAGCUUCGUAUCGCUGCAUCGGCAUCGUCUCUUACUUCUCAAGCCGACAUCGUCAGCCAUGGUGUGAGCACCGUCACUUACUCCUCUUCGACAACGAGCAAGAGCCAUUAGCCUCCCUAGUGUGACUCCCUCUCUCCCUCUCGUGUGGCGCCCAUCGCACCUUUGAACCCGCCUCUGCCCGAUCACUGGUCAUCGUCACCCUGAUGUCGCCUACCUCCUCCCCUUUUCCUAUCACGGAAGGGGGUUACUAUCAUCUGAGGUGGGAUUGUAAUUGGAGAGCCAAGACGUUGUGGGAGGUCGAGCUGCCACCAUUUCACUGCUGAUGUCGUCGAGCCUUAGCCUCGUGUUUCUUCCGAUCUCAUCUUCUCCUCUCCACUACUGCUAGCAGCUAGCUCUGCCGACAGCCAGUCCUAAUUAGUUCUACUCUAGCCACAGUGAACCGCUAGAGAGGAAGGAGGUCAUCUGUUGAUUUGGGUAACAGAUUUCAUUUGUUAGAUUUAAUUUAGUGAUGACAUAUCUCUGUUCAUAUCUUCCUAGAACUAUAACCUCGAAGAUGUUCGGAGUAUUGCCUGGGAGGGAUUCAUUCCACCAUAAGUUUUGGUUGGAGAAGGAGAACAGUGUUUGGGACGUUGAUUCGAGACGAGCGUCUCGACGUGGGAUUUGGUUUAGCACGAUCGACAGAUAAAGAUAAAAGGUGGCAGACAUUCCAUGUUGGAUCAUUGAAUUGGUUUAGUGGUUCCUUUCCUAUCAACGCUAGACAACUGCAAUGCAAGAUUGUCUCAACAAACUUAGUUGGUUUGUUAAUUCGUACGAAGUAAUUUAUCUUAUGGAGUUCGAGACAAGGGAGGACAGAGGGAAGAAAUUGUAGACAUGCAUGCUACUAGCAAGAGGAUAGAACUCCUUAUCAUAGAAAAUAAAUAGAGAGAAGAAAAGUUUAUCGAGUAAGGUAGGCAAAGCAAAGAAAAUCUCAGGGAAAAGGUUUGUAAAAUGAUUCAAGAGAUAGAAUAUUCAAAUCAUUUAUGUCUACGAGGAUUUGGUCCUGUGACCAUGAGUGUCUUGAUAGAAUGUAAAGAUUAGAUUAUUUGAGGAGAGAUUUUAAAAUGUAUACAUUUUCUUAGAUGAUGUAAAUAUUUAUUUAUCCCAAUAUUAAUUCUA